rnacentral:rRNA from 1 species
UACGGGGGGGGCAAGCGUUGUUCGGAAUUACUGGGCGUAAAGGGCGCGUAGGCGGCCAUCUAAGUCAGACGUGAAAUCCCUCGGCUCAACCGAGGAACUGCGUCUGAUACUGGAAGGCUUGAAUCCGGGAGAGGGAUGUGGAAUUCCAGGUGUAGCGGUGAAAUGCGUAGAUAUCUGGAGGAACACCGGUGGCGAAGGCGGCGUUCUGGACUGCAACUGACACUGAGGAACGAAAGCCAGGGGAGCAAACGGG